rnacentral:misc_RNA from 1 species
UGUUGAGACGUGUGUGUGUGUGUGUAUAUUUUCCUUCUUCUUUUGAAAUUGAGAGCACUUUGUUCCUUAUGAUGACUUGAUGCCCCUGCACCGGGGACCUUGGUGUUGCUUUAGUGUGCAAGCUCGAUGGUGGUAUUAUUAUUAAUAUUAUUAUAAUUACAUUUGAGUUUUGCUUAUAAUAUUAAUAAUAAUACCACCAUCGGGCUUGCACACUGAAGCAACACCAAGGUCC